GCUCGAGUGGUGGAAUUGGUAGACACGCAAGACUUAAAAUCUUGUGUCCCCUGGGACGUACGGGUUCAAGUCCCGUCUCGAGUA
rnacentral:tRNA from 1 species